CCCGCUCUCGCCGCCGGACCCUGCCGCCCCCGGCGCUGCAGCCGCGGAGUGCGCGGUCUGCCCGCCCCUCACUCCCGCUCUGCGGUGGCGCGGCCAGCCCGGCCCUCUCCCGCGGCACGGCGGCGGACAGCGCGGGCAGCUGGGCUCCGCAUCGCGGGGGCUCUGCGGAAAGGAGCUGCGGCUGAGACGCUGCCCUGCGGCUGCCGCCCGUGCCCAGGGUCCAGCUCACCCAGCAGAACAGCUCCUCCCGCGGGCAACAAGUGUAGGGGUGGUCCAGGAGAACGCGGGUGCUGGGGGAGUGGCGGAUAAGGCCGGGAUGAAAAAUCAGGUGAGAGAGAACCGGGCUGUUAAACAGUGAGAUCUGAGAAGAAAAGUGGGAGCUCAAAGGAAAUACUGGUGAAGGAGUGGAGGAAUCACAUCGGCUGGUGACAACGGGGCAAGGAGGUGAAAGGGAGCUGCUGGAGGCCGGGAGCUGAGGAGAAGCUGCCCGCUGGAGCGCAUGCUGCAAAGCAGAUGGACCAACAAGCAGAGGAACGUGCCAAACGGAUAUGGUGCUGAAGGACAAGAAGCUCCUUAAAGCUGAUUUACGUGCCAUGGUAGACAAAGCUGAGAAGCAGCAUUAUCCACUGGAGGGCAGUGAAAGGCUGGGGAAUACCUCUGCCUAAAUAAGCCCCGUAACUACAAAGAUCCUGAGUUGCCCAAGGCUGAAAGAAAACGGUAAAAUGAGCAUAACUGGCAAAGUUUUGGUAGCAGAGGAGGCUACAGGAGUGACCUGAGUAGGAGAAAGGUCAUGGACUGCCCUCCAUUCACAGGUGGUUCCAGCUGGCUUGGCAAUGGACACCACCAACCCACUACGUGCCAAAACUUGAAGCAACCAGAGGAGCAUAGGGCACCCCUGUGAAAACACAUUUAACGUGGAGUGGCUGCCGGGAAGCGACGUGUGAGGAUACACGGGACGGACGACACAGAGAAGACACAGGAGCAGAUAUACCCUGAGGGCACUGCAGGCCAUGAAGAAAUCCCUGUGGGAGCAGGGACCAGCCUGGGGCAGCUGAAAAGAGUAAAAACUGUGGAGUGACAGGAAACGACUACAAAUGAUGCCAAUCUCCUGCGCUGCAUUGUGCCUCGCUGAAGGGGCUGAAUUUAACACCCAGCAAAAGCAAGGGAAAGAAGGUGUCUGGAUUGAAGUGGAGGUCUUUUCCCAAGGCACUUAAUUUUUAUCUUGUUUUGCAGUACCCCUGAAUCAGUAGUUGAAAAAUACAUAGUUGGUUAUGUAUAGGUAUAUGUAGUGGUUUAAUACAUUAAAAAUCAGUGCGAUCUCCCAACAUGAGACAUGGCAACUGAGCAGCCUAGAAAAGGGAAGACCUCAUCUUUCUUAAGAUUAUUAAGAUUAUUUAGGAGUCAGACUGGCUGUGAAUGUGUUAUGGGGUGGAGAAUGGGGAUCUCUGAGCUAAGACUGGCCUUGGAAUGGUUCCUAGCAGAUUCAACCUUUUAAAGAAACAACAGAGAACAAACGUUAAGGGCAGCAAGCUACUUCAUGUCAAAAGGGUUCGCAUGCAUCUCCUGCAUAUGGGUCUGGCUUUGCUCCUAAAGAUAUUUUCGAUACAUUUUCAUCUCCUCUCUCGAAGCCCAGGCUCCUCUGAACGUGCGGGAAGCCACACUCCCACCACUGCACCCCAUUGCACAGAGCCGGGAGCUGUAAGCACAAGGCCAGGCACGAAGGGUACCACCGCACCAGAGCGGUGCGCAGGCUGCACACUCAGACACCAGCGGGAAGACAAAGUGCCCCCGAGAGCCCGAGUCAGGUCGGGCUGGCAGGACCAGGAGCCCACAGACCUCCUGCCCUUGCCGCCCCAUAGAGGAGCCAAGCCGCCGCACCCCUCGCCCCACAAACACCCCUACGGCCGAGGCCCUCACGCCCGCUGCCAUGACUGCCAGCGGCGCAUGCGCCAGCCCGUAGUGGGCAGCCGAGCGGGAAGGGCGGGAGGCGGGGGCGCCCGCCGCCGCCCGCCGCCGCUCUGGGGGCCAGGCUCGGCGACUGGUUACGGGCAGGAGCUCUGAACACGCCUAAUGAAGUUUCAAAUGGAGCUUUUUAACAACAAACGCUUUGACACAAAUUGUAGAAAAAGUCUGUAUUUUACCUGCCAAAAAUCUAUGCCUUGCCUUAAAAGCAUAUUUCAAUUAGCCCACUGUGUCUUACAGAACACACAGUGUUUAUGUGGAUGCAUUAGUGAUAAUUAAUCUUGGUGUGUUGUGGUGGUGGUGUGCUAUGCCAGGGAUGUGUCCGCAGGUCUGUGAUAGAUGGCUUUUUAAGAUGGAAAGAACACUUUGACAAAGUACUUUUUGCUGAGGCCCUGGUAAGCACCUCAGUGCUGAGGAGACUGUCAGUAUUUCUCAGGAUCAGAGCCACACACAGGUUUAGACAUGGACCAUUUUUAUUGAAAAAGACCCCCCUCCUCAAGAAAUAAAUUCCAGUUGCUGUGGCCAAGAUGCAUUCUGUCUUCUCUGCAGUCUCCUGAAAGGAUGGUAUCUAACAGAUACCCUUACAGAAACACCACGAUGAAUGUUACUUAGAACAAUCAGUUAUACAUAUGAAACUAUCAGUUUGGAAGAUAUUUAUCCAGCUGCUUUUUAAGAGGGCUAUUUUCUGAGCACAGGCCCCUUUCUGGGAAGUGCUAGGCAUGCAUAGCUUCCCUCAGCAUUGCACGUCAGUCACCAGCUCCCUUUGAGCCAGACCUGAAGAUAAAAGCUAGCUUACCUAUCAACACUUGCUAAACCUCAUUAAUCAACCAUUCAGGUUUUCCUGUUUCAUUCAAGUAGAUGCAUUUAUGUCAAA